ACUGCAACCAACUUCAUUUCCAAGCCACUCGUCCGACAACUGUUUAAAAUUAUUCCAGUGACAACUCAUUAUAUUGUUUACAAGCGUACAAAAGCAUUUUGGUGAGAAUUUUCCAGAAAAAAAGUUAUUCGUGAUGGAAUUCAAGCGUCAUAGUGUGAUUUCUUUAUAUUUGGCUGGAAAACCACAAGUGGCUAUCGUUAGAGCACUCCAGCAUUUAAAUGUGAAUAAAUCUUUUGUGUCUCGUACCAGCUCUUUAGCUUGCUUCGCUUGGCGGAAAGUGGUGAUCUGCCGAAUUUGGUUUUCUCCGAUGAGAAAACAUUCGUUGUCCAACACUUU